UGAUCUUGAAAAAAUGGGAGUAGUUUUACACAUUCCAAGUUGUAUGGAGAAAUGAAGGAAGAUGCGAAGUGUUUAGAAGUCUGGAAAUGGAUUCACAUCGUUCUUUUCAUUUCAUGUCAAAAGAAGAAUGAAACGAAUCACUUGACCAAUUUUAAAUGAAAGUGUAAAAAGAGGAGUAGAGAGUCAUCAACCACACCAAGUGUUGCAGGACACGGGCUCUUGUGGUGGAUUGUGGCCAUGAAGGGCUCCCAGGCCAACCAGGGGAGAAGUCCUUGCGGCGAGGAAGAGGCCAUUUCCUAAGAGUCAGCACCAGUUGCCUGAGUGUGAGCGAACUGUGUUGGAAGUGGAUUCUUCAUCCUGAGUCAAGCGUUUGUGACUCAGCGCUUCAAGCUGACUUCUGAACCACGUGCUACACACAGGAGACUUGUACAUUCUCCAUCACAUCUGUAAGCUGGGACGUGACGAUGACCAGCCGCCACCUCCAAUAUUUCAUAUAUAUGAGAGGCAUUUAGGAGAUGUGAAGACUGGGCUGUUGUGAAACAGUUAUAAAGACACAAGAUGGAAAGUGUCAACAGUGACAUUCAGCUGUGCGGUUAUGCCAGCAAAAUGGUCACAGCCCCAAACGCUAUGUUCUUUGCAGGCCCUGGGCUUUCAAGUUGGAACCAGGAGCAUGGAGUUUCAGAUCCUGGUGCUUCAAGGUCCCGGGGCGACAGCAGUUUCCUCCAACCACUACAGCCACACAAAUCCUACACACCCGGGAAGAGCGGGGAUGGGUCUCGCAGAGAUUUUUAAGGAAAAAGGGAGAGAGAUCUUUUGCAAAGGCAAAAGGGACCAAGAGAUGCAAUCUUCUGAAGAGAAAGCAAAGGGGAAUUACACUGCAGCAUGAAUUUAUGU